AACGAACGCUGGCGGCAUGCCUAACACAUGCAAGUCGAACGAGACCUUCGGGUCUAGUGGCGCACGUGUGCGUAACGCGUGGGAACCUGCCCUUAGGUUCGGAAUAACUCCCCGAAAGGGGUGCUAAUACCGGAUAAUGUCUUCGGACCAAAGAUUUAUCGCCUUUGGAUGGGCCCGCGUUGGAUUAGCUAGUUGGUAGGGUAAAAGCCUACCAAGGCGACGAUCCAUAGCUGGUCUGAGAGGAUGAUCAGCCACACUGGGACUGAGACACGGCCCAGACUCCUACGGGAGGCAGCAGUGGGGAAUAUUGGACAAUGUGCGAAAGCCUGAUCCAGCAAUGCCGCGUGAGUGAUGAAGGCCUUAGGGUUGUAAAGCUCUUUUACCCGGGAUGAUAAUGACAGUACCGGGAGAAUAAGCUCCGGCUAACUACGUG
rnacentral:rRNA from 1 species